rnacentral:rRNA from 1 species
CCUACGGGUGGCAGCAGUGGGGGAUAUUGCACAAUGGGGGGAACCCUGAUGCAGCGACGCCGCGUGGGUGAAGGAGAGUUUCGGCGCGUAAAGCCCUAUCGGCAGGGAAGAAGGAGGACGGGACCGGACGAAGAAGCCCCGGCGAACUACGUGCCAGCAGCCGCGGUAAGACGUAGGGGGCAAGCGUUAUCCGGAUUUACUGGGUGUAAAGGGGGCGCAGACGGCAGCCCAAGCCAGGAGGGAAAGCCCGGGGCCCAACCCCGGGACUGCACUUGGAACUGCGCGGCUGGAGUGCAGGAGGGGCAGGCGGCAUUCCUGGUGUAGCGGUGAACUGCGUUGAUAUCCGG